AUAAUACUCCCUCCAUUCGGAAUUAUUUGUCAUCAAAAUGGAUGUGUCUAGAACUAAAAUACAUCUAGAUACAUCCAUUUCAAUGACAAGUAUUUUCGGACGGAGGGAGUAGUAG
rnacentral:pre_miRNA from 1 species